CAGUGAGUAGAAUAAAUUAGGAUUAGAUAGACGGGAUAAUAGUGGCAGAAGAAAAUGCCCAUGCAGGACUUCAUUUGAACAUCAUGAAGACAAACAUCAUGACUCCAAAAGAGAUACACAAUUUUAACAUAGGCAAUGACGUUGUUAAAGAUUUGGUUUACUUUGUUUCAGUUGUUAAUUCAAAUGGAGACUGCAGCCAAGAAAUCAAGAAAAAAUAAAGACUCAGAAGGGCAGCAAUGGGAGACUUGGGAAAAAUAACCAAGAACAAAGUUGUUUUUAGAGACGAAGGCUAAGAGUAUCCACACCCUUAUAUUCCCAAUUACUCUGUACAGAUGUGAAAAUUGGACAGUGAAGAAGCUGGUGUAAAAAAGCGAUUCAUUUGAAAUGUGGCGUUGAAGCUCUGCAGAAAGCCUGGCCCGCUCUAAAGACGGACAAGUGAGUCCUGGUGCAAAUUAAGCCUGAAACAUCACUGGAGGCAAAGAUGAUGAAACUGAAGCUGUCCUAAGUUGGGCAUAUCACGUGACGGCAGGGUUCUUUGGUAAAAACACGAACGCUGAAAAAAAGAGGGCCAAAGGAGAAGAGAAAGACUGAAGAUGAAAUGGAUUGCUUGACUAAAGGAGUUACAGGCAGGAGUCCACGGGAGGCAACUGCUAGACAGGAAAAGACUGAAAUACAGGAGAGUGAUGGAAUCAUUGACGGAGUCACAUACCAAGGGGAGAUUACCAGCUGAAGAAUUUGCACGGACCGACCUUGGAGAACCUUCAUCUCAGCUGGGGCCAAAGUAAUCACCUAAUACACAUGCAAUGGGAGCACUAUGCUGACGGGUCCUUAUGUUCGCCUUCCGCGUUUUCCUUUGAGCUGUAUUGUUGUAUCAUCGGUCAGAUGGAGAGAUGCUUGCUGGCUGGCAUUUUUCAAAAAGCCGCGAGG